rnacentral:rRNA from 1 species
CCGACGGUGAGGGGUGAAAGCUGGGGGCACGAACCGGAUUAGAUACCCGGGUAGUCCCAGCUGUAAACGAUGCUCGCUAGGUGUCAGGUGCGGUGCGACCGCAUCUGGUGCCGCAGUGAAAACUUGAAGCGAGUCACCUGGGAAGUACGGUCGCAAGGCUGAAACUUAAAGGAAUUGGCGGGGGAGCACUACAACGGGUGGAGCCUGCGGUUCAAUUGGAUUCAACGCCGGAAAGCUACCGGACUCG